GAAAUGCGAUAAGUAAUGUGAAUUGCAGAAUUCAGUGAAUCAUCGAAUCUUUGAACGCAUCUUGCGCUCCUUGGUAUUCCGAGGAGCAUGCCUGUUUGAGUGUCAUUAUAUUCUCAACUCCCCAAUACUUUAUUGUAAAAGGAGAGCUUGGAUUGUGGAGGCUUGCUGGCCACUUGCUUGGGGUCAGCUCCUCUGAAAUGCAUUAGCAGAACCGUCUGCGAUCUGCCACAAGUGUGAUAAAUUAUCUGCACUGGCGAGGGGAUUGCUUUCUGUGAUGUUCAGCUUCUAAUCGUCUCAGGACAAUUUCUUGAAUGCUUGACCUCAAAUCAGGUAGGACUACCCGCUGAACUUAA
rnacentral:misc_RNA from 1 species